UGGCCGGAGAGGCAGCAGCACCCCGAGCUGUCAGGCGUUCCGCCGCGGCCGCGAGGCCCGCCGGCCGGCGGGGAGCUACGCCCGGACGGCCAGCAGGCCCGCGGGAGUGGGGCUGCCGCGGCUGAGGCGAGGCGGGCCGCGCUCGGACCCGGUGACUUAAGAGAUUAAAAUUAAUUUGGUUGCUGUUGGUUCUGAACAAAUAAUGAGUUCUUUUAUUUGAGGUAUGCCAUUUUGAAGACUGAGACGUUGGAGUUUUAUCCUAGAGGAUAAAGGAAAUCUUUGGGAAAGUCAGUAUUUUAUAUAGCAAAAAUAUGAACCUCAAACUGAAUCCUCUAAAGGCCCCAUACAAUGAAGUAGACAUUGGUGGAAACAUUUACACCCAGUCAGCUUGAAGAGUUUCAAAUGGACCCUACCACUGAGAAAUCAAGAUGGCAGUCUACUAUGGGGAAUUGAGGAAAAAUGGAUUAAUACAAGAGUCCUGUGAUAAUAUACAACCAAGACAGGGUUCUUUUAACAUGGAUUCCAUGCAGUGAAUGAAGACAUAGGUUUCUUACCCAACACAAAUGGACAGUGGAUUUGACUUUCUAAAGACUUUUUUUGUGGACAUUUUGACAUUUGGAGAAGAAAGAUGGCACACUAACCCAGAUAAUAGUUUUUAUGCCUGGAAUUUUUUGCAGUUUGAUUUGUAUGCGUAUGACCUCUUGAAAUGUUAAUUUUUAAUAAAA
rnacentral:lncRNA from 1 species